GACGUAGGGUGCGAGCGUUGUCCGGAUUUAUUGGGCGUAAAGAGCGCGCAGGCGGUCGUGCAAGUCGCGUGUGAAAGCCCCCGGCUCAACUGGGGAGGGUCACGCGAUACUGCUCGACUUGAAGGCAGGAGAGGGUAGUGGAAUUCCCGGUGUAGUGGUGAAAUGCGUAGAUAUCGGGAGGAACACCAGUGGCGAAGGCGACUACCUGGCCUGUUCUUGACGCUGAGGCGCGAAAGCUAGGGGAGCAAACGGG
rnacentral:rRNA from 1 species